CUGUUCCUUGAAGCCGCAGUGUAUUUUGAAACGAGGUUGAGAGAUCCAGCGGCUCCAAAAGCAGGCACAAGGCUGCCAGUGUUCCAGUGUUCAGCCUGGGGCUUGGCACUCACCCUGACCAGAGGGGUCCAGCCAAUGGCGGCAUUUGCUGUGUUUGUGUGUGUGGGAAAGAAAGAAUGAGAGUUUGUGAAGAGGUGCGUGUGUGUGUGUGUGUAUUUGUGUGUGCAUGUGCUGAUGUAGAAACACCUUUCUCCAAGUAGAGCUCUUCCUCAGAGCCUAGGUGAGUCAGAGAGUCUCAUGUUUGGUAGUUUGCGGUUUUGUCAGUUUUUUGGUAAUAAGCUCUCUCUCCCCCUCCUCCAACCCCCAUGGUGCAGUCUGCUUGUUACUGAGCUGGAGGCGGGCCAAGAUGUGCACCACAGGAAUUGGACCAAUCCACACAGUAGAAGACGGGGAGCAUUGCUAAAUUGGUUCCAUACCUUGGCUGACAGUGGUUAGGUCUUUGAGCUCUGAGAAGAAUGGCCUACACUGGUGAUAGAUAGUGAGCUGGUGACAGUGACACAGCCGUCCCCAAAUUCCAUAGCUGCUCGUUGGCUGUCAUUAUAGUUUCAAGGCAACGUUCCCCCGCUGGGCACCUACAUCAGUUCAACGUCUAGUUUUGAUUUACAUUUGGUUAAGCUGUCAACUAACAUGACUUCAACGUGAAAUCAAAAAGAAAAUUCACCACGUCAUUGGAUUUAAGUUAAAAGUUUGGUUUAAAAAAAGACGAAAUUCCCUUAUGUUGACCUUUUUUUCGAAACCAAUCUGUUUUCCACGUUGAUUCAACGUCAUCACGUAAUUGUUUUUUUUUUUUUUUGCGGGUUUGGUUGAAAUGACAGGGAAACAACGUUGAUUUAACCAGUUUGAGCCCGGUGGGAUGUAAUGAACUGCAAUUGAUGUCGGGCCUACAUCGGGUCGGUAGAGGGGGACGGCACGUAAAACCCUGAGUCGUACUGUUUACACACAUGGAUAUGACAUUAGUCCGGAAAGCUCUAUGAGAUACUCUGCUGUGGCGUUGCCAAGUUGAGCAUCUACAUUUGGGUUUGGCUGUUCCCUCCUCCCGUCUGCUCGGUCGCCCCAGAAACCACAGGAAAGGGAAGCCGGAACCCUCCGAAAAUAUUGUCCUGGGUAAAAAUGGCCACUUGAAUGGCAACAUUCAGCCCCCAUCCACUACAAACAAAAGGACUUUGACAGAGAGAGAAAGAGAUGUGCAGUUUAAUUUUUGUUUCUGCUUUUCUAGCUACAUUUACACUUUCAUUUUCUCUUUUAUUUAACAGUUAAUGUGAAUACGGGUAUAUGAUUCAUAUACUGUAUCUACUGCAACUACACUUUUUUUUAUACGUUGUUUGUAUUCCAUCAUCUCUUGUCUGCUGGUAGUUGCAUUUGUGGAUUUAUAGGGAAAGAGAAACUUCAUGCAUAAUGAGGUCAGGUCUGUCACGCUCUAGCUGUAAUAGUAAUGCCUAGCCAUGAAAGUGACUUGAAAUGUGGUGGAACUUUAGUCAAAGUCUCCCCAUUGCCAUCUUUUUCCAUCCCACUACUAUGGAACUUUUAUCUCCAACAAACACAUAUACAGAUGCAGGAUCUUAAUUGGAUCCACUUUGGAAAAUAAUCCUGCAGAAACAGGAAAUGUGAAUUAUUUUGUGGAUUUGAAUUCAUGUAUAUGUUUGUAGGGGUUGAUAUUUUUUUGUUAUUUUUUUUGUAUUUCUUUUUUGCGGGGGUAAAGGAAAAUCAGGUCUGAAAUUUCAAAGUGGAGAUUACAAAUUUCAGAAGCCUUUUUAAACCUAAAAUACACUAAAAUGUCCUUCCUGCAUUGCAGGAAAGUUAUCCUGCAACAGGGUGAUCAAAUUAAGAUCUUACAUCUGUAAACACACACUCACAUAAAACCUCCAAUGCCACCCAACACACACAGACACACAUCCUGGCACUCAAAUGCAAACAUCCACACACAUACACACAAACAGCCCCCCCACACACAUUAUUCUGGUGUCUUUGAUGGAAGCUAAGGCGUGGUCUAUAUGGGUGGUGUGUGUAUGUGUUUAUAUUUGUGUGUGCAUUAGUGUCGGUGUCCUCCCUAAGUGAGGAGGGCCAUCUGGUCACCCUGCCAUUGCUGUCCGUGGUCCCUGUGAAGUGCUGUUAGCGUAGCCGCUGCGGUCGACUGUGGCGACUGAAUGCUUGCUGCACAGCAACAUCCAGGCUGGGCUCUCACCUCAGAAAAGGAGAUUUGGGUUUUCUCAAAUGGAGGGGUUGCUCCUGAGCUAUUUACAGCUAUUUACAAAUGGACUUCUUCCCUUCUCUCACUUCCUUGGCUGCUCUUUCAAGAACCUCAAGGGGGGCCAGACCCCUGCUUGUUUGACGUUUGUAUACACAGGGCAUGAUGAUGUCUGCUAUGUAACAAUAAAAAUGCACUAUCUUGAGUUCAUAUGCAUAUUAUGCAUAAAACUGCCA